CCUACGGGAGGCUGCAGUGGGGAAUAUUGGACAAUGGGCGAAAGCCUGAUCCAGCCAUGCCGCGUGUGUGAAGAAGGUCUUCGGAUUGUAAAGCACUUUAAGUUGGGAGGCGUUACCGACAGAAUAAGCACCGGCUAACUCUGUGCCAGCAGCCGCGGUAAUACAGAGGGUGCAAGCGUUAAUCGGAAUUACUGGGCGUAAAGCGCGCGUAGGUGGUUUGUUAAGUUGGAUGUGAAAUCCCCGGGCUCAACCUGGGAACUGCAUUCAAAACUGACUGACUAGAGUAUGGUAGAGGGUGGUGGAAUUUCCUGUGUAGCGGUGAAAUGCGUAGAUAUAGGAAGGAACACCAGUGGCGAAGGCGACCACCUGGACUAAACUGACACUGAGGUGCGAAAGCGUGGGGAGCAAACAGGAUUAGAUACCCUUGUAGUC
rnacentral:rRNA from 1 species